CAUGCAAGUCGAACGCGAAAGUGGGCUUCGGCCCGCGAGUAGAGUGGCGAAAGGGCGAGUAAUGCGUUUCUAACGUGCCCCAGGGUCAGGGAUAGCUCACCGAAAGGUGGAUUAAUACCUGAUAAACCCACCCGCCUCCUGGCGUGGUGGGCAAAGGCUUGCUGCCCUGGGAUCGGGGAACGUGCUAUCAGGUUGUUGGUGAGGUAACGGCUCACCAAGCCUAAGACGGCUAGCGGGUGUGAGAGCACGACCCGCCGCAUCGGGACUGAGACACUGCCCGGACUCCUACGGGAGGCUGCAGUAACGAAUAUUCCGCAAUGCGCGAAAGCGUGACGGAGCAAUGCCGCGUGCAGGAUGAAGCCCCUCGGGGUGUAAACUGCUGUCAGGGACUAGAAACACAAUGAUCAUUCCCAAAGGAAGAGCCGGCUAACUCUGUGCCAGCAGCCGCGGUAAUACAGAGGGCUCAAGCGUUAAUCGGUGUCACUGGGCUUAAAGGGUGUGUAGGCGGGCCCGUAAGUGUUAUGUGAAAUCCCACGGCUCAACCGUGGAACUGCAUGGCAUACUGCGGGCCUUGAGGUCAGUAGAGGCUGUCGGAACUCU
rnacentral:rRNA from 1 species